GCCAGUGUGGUGUAGUGGUUUGAGUGUUGGACUAAAACUCUGAAGAUCAGAGUUCAAUUCCCUGCUUGACU
rnacentral:tRNA from 1 species